GUAGGGUGCAAGCGUUAAUCGGAAUUACUGGGCGUAAAGCGUGCGCAGGCGGUUUUGUAAGUCUGACGUGAAAGCCCCGGGCUCAACCUGGGAAUUGCGUUGGAGACUGCAAGGCUUGAAUCUGGCAGAGGGGGGUAGAAUUCCACGUGUAGCAGUGAAAUGCGUAGAGAUGUGGAGGAACACCGAUGGCGAAGGCAGCCCCCUGGGUCAAGAUUGACGCUCAUGCACGAAAGCGUGGGGGAGCAAACAGGAUUAGAUACCCUGGUAGUCCACGCCCUAAACGAUGUCUACUAGUUGUCGGGUCUUAAUUGACUUGGUAACGCAGCUAACGCGUGAAGUAGACCGCCUGGGGAUACGGUCGCAAGAUUA
rnacentral:rRNA from 1 species